CUGCACAGGCAUUGCAUGGCUGUCAUCAGCCCGUGGCGACAAGCUGUCUGAGCGCUAAGCUCAGAAACGGGCAUCUCCCCUACUCAAAGGUGUUCUUUGAGACUGUUAUCUUUUUGAAUAUUAGAUAAAGGAAGCAGGGACGAAGUCAAGUCAUCAUGGUCCUUAUGAAGUGGGCCACACGUGUGUGACAACGGAAGUCACAAUAGCAAGCACCGGUGAAAGCCAUAGCAACGCUUUAAAAACUUUCGUAGUGCGGAUAAGAGCCUGAAACUCGGCUCUUUGAAGGCGGAAUCGCCAGUAAUCGUAGGUCAGCAAACUACGGUGAAAUUUGUAUGCUUGUCUCAACGACGCAUCGCCCGUCACGGUGAGAGAGUGGUGCGCGCUGGAAAACAAGAAAGGUUUAUAGUAGAAAGACGCCAGAAUGGUUCAAAUGUUGUUGAAUCGCAAUAACUACUUUAGAUUUUUUUUGUUGAAUGUGUGUGUCGCGAUUCCAUUGAAGUCGUAACAAGGUAGCUGUACGGGAACGUGUAGCUG
rnacentral:rRNA from 1 species